GACAGAGGGUGCAAACGUUGCUCGGAAUUACUGGGCGUAAAGCGCGUGUAGGCGGCUCUCCCAGUCGGGUGUGAAAGCCCAGGGCUCAACCCUGGAAGUGCACUCGAUACUAGAGAGCUGGAGUCUCGGAGAGGAUAGCGGAAUUCCCGGUGUAGAGGUGAAAUUCGUAGAUAUCGGGAGGAACACCAGUGGCGAAGGCGGCUAUCUGGACGAGAACUGACGCUGAGACGCGAAAGCAUGGGGAGCAAACAGG
rnacentral:rRNA from 1 species